CAGGCGUCUAAGGUAGGCUCCCACUACAUUACCUUACUGAUGAGUCCAGUAGUAGUCAGUGGAAGCCGGGACGAAACGCCAA
rnacentral:hammerhead_ribozyme from 15 species